rnacentral:rRNA from 1 species
UGGGGAAUAUUGCACAAUGGGCGCAAGCCUGAUGCAGCCAUGCAGCGUGUAUGAAGAAGGCCUUCGGGUUGUAAAGUACUUUCAGCGAGGAGGCAGGCAUUGUGGUUAAUAACCGCAGUGAUUGACGUUCCUCGCAGAAGAAGCACCAGCUAACUCCGUGCCAGCAGCCGCGGUAAUACGGAGGGUGCAAGCGUUAAUCGGAAUUACUGGGCGUAAAGCGCACGCAGGCGGUCUGUCAAGUCGGAUGUGAAAUCCCCGGGCUCAACCUGGGAACUGCAUCCGAAACUGGCAGGCUAGAGUCUUGUAGAGGGGGGUAGAAUUCCAGGUGUAGCGGUGAAAUGCGUAGAGAUCUGGAGGAAUACCGGUGGCGAAGGCGGCCCCCUGGACAAAGACUGACGCUCAGGUGCGAAAGCGUGGGGAGCAAACA